UGGGGAAUUUUGGACAAUGGGCGAAAGCCUGAUCCAGCCAUGCCGCGUGAGUGACGAAGGCCUUAGGGUUGUAAAACUCUUUCGUCGGGGACGAUAAUGACGGUACCCGAAGAAGAAGCUCCGGCUAACUUCGUGCCAGCAGCCGCGGUAAUACGAAGGGAGCUAGCGUUGUUCGGAAUCACUGGGCGUAAAGCGCACGUAGGCGGAUAGUUAAGUCAGGGGUGAAAUCCCGGGGCUCAACCUCGGAACUGCCUUUGAUACUGCAAGUCUCGAGUUCGGGAGAGGUGAGUGGAAUUCCUAGUGUAGAGGUGAAAUUCGUAGAUAUUAGGAAGAACACCAGUGGCGAAGGCGGCUCACUGGCCCGAUACUGACGCUGAGGUGCGAAAGCGUGGGGAGCAAACAGGAUUAGAUACCCACGUAGUCCCUGAGCGGGCUGGCAAGGCGCAU
rnacentral:rRNA from 1 species